rnacentral:lncRNA from 1 species
UGAUGAUGAAGAUACCAGUUUUAUUGCAGUAACAAGCUAGUCGAUGAAAAACACAAGCCUACUUUCAGUAUCUAUACGAGUAGGUUAAUUAAGCAGCACGAACUACUUUCCGGUUACAAAAAGCACACCUCACUGCCUCAUAUAUUAGGGGGGAUACAUUCAUAUAUACUGUAGCUCUUGCCGGGCAGGUUCCAGAUUAGUUUCGCCGGCGAUCAGGCCCGAACGUGCACUUCAGGCAGCAGGCGCACAGUCAUAGUCGUCAUCAUCGUCGUCGCCGUCCGACUCGGCCUUCCUAUGCCGCCCGCCGCACCAGGCGUCACACGGCACGGUGGCGUAAACGGCAUAGUCGGGAAUGCGUCCGUCUUGGACGACGAUGAGGCUCAUGACCUUCGACGCCGGUGCCAUGACGAGGAGCUAGCUUCGAGUCUAAGCGCAAGCUAGCUAUAGCUGGUACUGGCAGUCGUGAUGUGGCUGUUGUGGACUUGUGGUGUGUGUUAUCUUCAGAGUAUAGCCGCGUAUGGUGUGGGUUUUAUAGGACGACAGGAUGUGUGGAGAAAUGUGGCGGCACGCGGCGGGUUGCGCCAGGAGCGUGCGUCGGACAUGCCGCUGCGUGCAUGGCCUUGGCGCGGCACGGGCGCGGCCGUGCACACUCAGCACUUCAGCAGCCGGGGAGCCACGGCGGCACCGCCAUGCCGCUGAGCGCUGACAGGUGAGCGCCCGGGACCGGCGCGGUCUACAUGCCAGUGCCUGCGGCGGCUGCGGUACCGGGUGGCCCGGAUCGCCCGACGUGGUGGAGGAAUCGCGAGGAGGAUGGAGGGCCAGCCGGGCAGCGAGCUAACGGGAGAUGCCAAAAAGUUAGAACCGUCGACGCAAAUCUGUGUAGAUAUUUCGCACUUUAUUGCAGUUCAGUGCGGAUAUAUUCUGUCGUCUGCAUGCGUUCGUUGCGUCUGCUUCUUCCCUCCGGCGAUCAAUGUCAAUCCCAGUCGCCACACGGGCGGUACGUGCUCAAAAACAUGUUUUCGGUACGUUGAUGAUCGAUCAUGGUCGAUCCGUCGUUGCCGAAUACGGCAGUACCGCAUGGAGUGCCGACUAUUAAUAACAUGGUCACACUACUGGAAUCGGCAACGUUGUCUAGUGUCGGGAGAUUGCCUGCUCCAAUGUUGACAUCUAAAACAGACACAUUAUUUGUUCGCGGACCCGUGAACACCAAUUCACGGACACUGAUGCGGAAGACGACCAUCCAAUAUCAUCGUGUCAUGGUGGAGGAGAGAGACAGAGGAUGUAUGAAUUUCUGGGGUGACGGUUUUUGGUUGGCUAGACGGUUGUCCGGACUCUCGCAAAAUCUCCUUCCUUUAAUUUACUUCUAGUUUGAGAGAGUUUGUAAGUCUAGACGUGUUUUGGACACUUGAAAGAUAGCAUUGGAUGGCAAAAAGUAUCUGAACCAGGACAUAUAGGGAUGAUUUGACGGUGUGCAUUGAAAAUGCCCUUAUCCGGGAGCUCGACAAUGAGCACCGUUUACCGAGUGGCCACCAGGUAAACUCCCCAAACGUGAAAAGCUCAAAGUUAAGCACCGUUUAUCGACCUUUACAUGACACAUAGUAUUAGAAAACCUCAGCCUCAAAGGUGGACUACUCCCAGAUCGUCAUGGGAACAUCAAAGGGUUGAUGUACUGGUCGAUGGAAAUCAGUUCCAAAAAAAGGUCGAUGAAAAUUGAUUCCCUCCUUCGGCAACGUGGCAGAACAUGGCCAAAACCUAGGGAAAACCAGGCAAAAAUAAAAUGCCAAAAAAGCUUAAAAAACUAUCUAGACCCAAAAAAAGAGCGCAAGAAAAGACCGAAAGUCAAAGAAAGCAACCAACAUGCGCUACACAUUAGGGCAAUUACCCUUUUGGAAGCUCCGUAAGGUAUCCAUGGGUUAGUUGCUGUUGCUGGUGUGGGGAGCUCGGGAACGGUGGCUAGUGCUGCGCUUUCUCAUUUUCUACUCUCUUCGUCCCACAAUGUGAGACAUUUUUGUAAGGUUUCUUGCGUUUUAUGAAUUUUGUGAUUCAUAUAACAUGCAAAUCCACUCGUCGUUCUACGAUUGACGACGGGGUUGUACUAUCUAGGAUGUUGGCGGUCUGUUUGAUUUGAGCCCCAAGUAGCCCGACCGAUAUAUUUGCAUGACCAAAUUUUUAGUAAGAUGGUGUUGUUUGGUUUAUAGCCAUUGUACCAAAUUUUUGGUAAAGUUGUUGGACUUCCAUUUGGUUUGGAACCAACUGAGUCUGCGUAUCGCAACGUGUAUUGGGUUAGGGCUUGGUUUAAUUAAUUCUGGUUUACUUUCAGCAAGUUUGCACACUGCAACAUGUAUGAUUGGGUUAGUGCUUGGUUUAAUGCUGGUUUACUUUCAGUGUUAAGUUGCUAAAAGAGUGAGAUGCAUAUAUCAAUUGAGGUCUCUAGUUUAAUCAGCCCACAUUCAAUUGAGGUCUCUAGUUUAAUCAGCCCACAUUCAAUUGAGGUCUCUAUUUAGAAUUAGAUCACCCUUUGAUGGGAUCAAUAAUUUCUUAAGAGUUCUUAAAUUAUAUUCCUUAAAUUCACUAUGCUCUUGAAUUUUGGAGCUCUUAUAUGAUUGAAGUAUUAAAUUUUGGAUUUAGUUCAUGAUUUUAACCGGGUCAAUAUUUUUUCAAAUCAACCAGCAGCAACCAACCUAUGAAAACAUGUGAGCCCGCGCACCCUCUCGCCACCUAGACAAAAGAUGUGCCAACAUGUAAUACCGUAGCACUAAUAUAAUAUAUGCAUCCACCGACACAGAAAAUUGCCACACCUAAAUAUGGGUUAAAUAGUAGAUAACACCGAAUCACAUAGCGGAAUGCCCAUCAAAACACCUCACUAUAAAAAAAGGACACACUCCAUCGUCUCUCCCACUCGCCAAAUCAAAUAUUCUUGAGUUUUAAAUGUUUCAAAAGUGAAUUUUUCAUUAACUUUGAUCAAGUUCAGAACCAAAAAUAUCAACAUCCACGUAUAUCUAAUACACUAUGCUCCAUAAUUGUAGAGGUCUCACAAUCAGUUGACGUUUUCAAUUCGGAAUUGAGUCACUCAAUUUUGACUGGAUCAACAAUUUCUAAAGAGUUCUCAAAUUCAAUUCUUUUAAUUCAAUAUGCUCUUGAAUUUUGUAGCUAUCUUAUAUGAUUAAGGUAUUUAUAUUUGUAUUUCUUUCAUGAUUUUGACCGGGUGAACAAUUCUUCAAAUCAAUCGGUAGCAACUGACCUAUAAAAACAUAUCACCCCACAACACCCUCUGGCCACAUAGAAAAAAGAGGUGCCAACAUGUAAUACCGUAGCACCAAUAUAAUACAUGUAGCCACCAACAAAGAGAAUUAACACACAAAAAUAUGGGUUAAUUAGUAGAUAACAUUGAAUCACACAACGGAAUGCCAACCAAAACACCGCACUAUAAAUAAAAAGAAGACACACUCCGUCGUCUAUCCCACUCUCCAAAUCAAAUAUUCCCGAGUUUCAAAAUAUAAGGUGCAUUAUUUUUUUGGAAAGUGAAAUUUCAUUAACUUUGACUAUGCCCAGAGCCAAAAAUAUCGACAUCCCCGUAAAUCUAACACACUAUGCUCCCUAAUUUUAAAGGUCUCACAAUCAAAUGACGUCUUCAAUUUGGUUGGGUCACUCGAUUUUGACCCGGUCAACAUUUUCUUAAUGCAUCUCAAUAAUUUUAUAAAUCAAUCGGCAGCAACCAACAUAUAAAAACAUAUCAUCCCGCAACGCCCUCUUGUCACCUUGAAAAAAGAGGUGUCAACAUGUAAUAUUGUAAUACCUUUAGUCCCGGUUUGUGUCUCAAACCGGGACUAAAGUCCUCUGCCUAUACAUAGCACAACCCCCCUCUCCACUCUUCCUUGCAUUUUUCUUGGAUGGAGGAUUGUGGGUGUGUGCUAGCUCUCCACUUUUUUUUUAUGCACUAGAGGUGUUUGUUGAAAUGUGUGUUAGAGCGAUGCCGCCUCAGUUCACCGAACACAACUACGAUAUGAGAUGCCUGAGCCACGCUUAAACCUCUUCCUCUUUAUUUCUACUUAUUCUAAAAGGUUAGCAACUAUAUUUCCUCGUUUAGGCCGUGCGGUACUAAUUUUUAGGAUCGUAAUUGUAUUUGAUAUACUGUCGUAUAACGCAGAUGAGCCAUCCAUGGAUGUACGGUGAUCGACGCACAGCCGCUUACAGAGAAGGCGUGCAUUCUUUUCGAGAUGCAGCCGAUGCGAACAAGCAUGGUGGUGGCUUUAUGUUUUGUCCAUGUGUUGAAUGUCGGAAUGAGAAGGAUUACACUUCCUCAAGAGUCAUUCAGAGCCACCUGCUUCGGUCCGGUUUUAUGUCGGACUAUAAUGUUUGGACCAAGCACGGAGAAAGAGGGGUUAUGAUGGAAGACGACGAUGAAGAAGAAAAGAACGAUGAUGACAACUACCGAUCUAUGUUCCCUGAGUAUGCUGAUACCGCAAUGGAAGACAAUGAAGAAGAAGAUCAGGAUGAAGAACGGGAACCAGAUGAGCCUGCUGAUGAUCUUGGCCGGGUCAUUUCUGAUGCACAGCGAGGUUGCGACACAGAAAAGGAGAGGUUACAGUUCGAGCAGAUGUUACAGGACCACAACAAAUUGUUGUACCCAACUUGUGAAGAUGGCCAGAAGAAGCUGGGUAGCACACUGGAAUUGCUGAAGUGGAAGGCAGAGACCGGUGUGACUGACUCGUCAUUCGAGAAGUUGCUGGUACUAAUGAAGAAGAUGCUUCCAAGAAAGAACGAAUUGCCCGCCAGCACGUACGAAGCAAAGAAGCUUGUCUGCCCUCUAGGAUUAGACGUGCAGAAGAUACAUGCAUGCCCUAAUGACUGCAUCCUCUACCGCGGUGAGAAGUACGAGAAUAUGGAUAAAUGCCCGGUAUGCACUGCAUUGCGGUAUAAGAUCAGAAAAGAUGACCCUGGUGAUAUUGAGGGCGAGCCACCCAGGAAGAGGGUUCCUGCCAAGGUGAUGUGGUAUGCUCCUAUAAUACCACGGUUGAAACGUCUGUUCAGAAAUAAAGAUCAUGCGAAGUUGUUGCGAUGGCACAUGGAAGAUCGUAUGAAAGACGAUAAGUUGAGGCACACCGCUGAUGGUCGGCAGUGGAGAAAAAUCGAGAGAGAGAGUUCCCGAGAUUUGCAGCUGACGCAAGGAACUUAUGGUUAGGUCUGAGUACAGAUCGCAUGAAUCCUUUUGGGGAGCAGAGUUGCAGUCACAACACCUGGCCCGUUACUCUAUGUAUCUACAACCUUCGUCCUUGGUUGUGCAUGAAGCGGAAGUUCAUUAUGAUGCCAGUGCUUAUCCAAGGUCCAAAGCAACCCGGCAACGAUAUUGAUGUGUACCUAAGGCCAUUAGUUGAUGAACUUUUACAGCUGUGGGCCAAACCAGGUGUACGUGUGUGGGACGAGCACAAACAAGAGGAAUUUGACCUUCGAGCGUUGCUUUUCGUAACCAUCAAUGAUUGGCCUGCUCUUAGUAACAUUUCAGGACAUUCAAACAAGGGAUUCAAUGCAUGCACGCACUGUUUGGAUAAGAUAGAAAGUAUAUAUCUGGACAAAUGUAGGAAGUAUGUGUACCUGUACAAUCGUCGUUUUCUUCCGCCCAAGCAUCCCUUAAAGAAAAAAGGCAAGCAUUUCAAUGGCAAGGCAGAACCCCGGGGGAAGCCUGUCAUCCGUACUGGUGCUGAAGUAUUUGAUAUGGUCAAAGAUUUAAAAGUAAUCUUUGGAAAGGGUCCUGGCAGCCAACCUGUUCCUAACGGCCCUGAUAAGCGCGUACCCAUGUGGAAGAAGAAAUCUAUAUUUUGGGAGCUACCCUACUAGGAAGUCCAUGAGGUCCGCUCGGCAAUCGACGUGAUGCACCUGACGAAGAAUCUCUGCGUGAAUAUUCUAGGCUUCCUGGGCUUGUAUGGGAAGUCAAAAGAUACACCGGAAGCACGGGAGGACCAGGAACGUCAUAAAGGAAGAGAUGGCAUGCAUCCAGGGCAGUUUCAAGGGCGUGCCAGCUACGCACUUACUAAGGAAGAGAAGGAAAUCUUCUUUGAAGUCCUUUUCAGUAUCAAGGUCCCGACUGGCUUCUCGUCGAAUAUAAAGGGAAUCGUAAAUAUGAAAGACAAAAAAUUCCAAAACCUAAAGUCUCAUGACUGCCACGUGCUUAUGACGCAAUUGCUUCCGGUUGCAUUGAGGGGAAUUCUACCGGAAAAUGCUCGCCUGGCAAUUGUGAAGGUAUGUGCAUUCCUCAAUGCAAUUUCUCAGAAGGUAAUCGAUCGAGAAAGUCUAUCAGGGUUACAGAUUGAUGUGGUCCAAUGUCUGGUCAGCUUUGAGUUGUUGUUCCCGCCAUCCUUCUUCAAUAUAAUGACACACCUCCUAGUUCACCUAGUCGAAGAGAUUAGAAUUCUCGGUCAUGUGUUUCUACACAAUAUGUUCCCCUUCGAGAGGUUCAUGGGAGUCUUAAAGAAAUAUGUUCGUAAUCGUGCUAGGCCAGAAGGAAGCAUCUCCAAGGGCUAUGGAACAGAGGAGGUCAUUGAGUUUUGUGUGGACUUUCUUCCUGACCUUAAGCCGAUUGAUGUUCCUGAAUCUUGGUAUGAGGGUAGGCUGACAGGAAAAGGCACACUAGGAAGGAAAGCAAAAUUAUGUAUGGACGGGCAUUCUUUCUCUCAAGCACACUACACAGUUCUACAUAAUUCCACCGUGGUGGCUCCGUAUAUCGUGAGACACAAGAAUAUUCUACGCUCCGAAAACCCGGGGAAGGCUGACUCUUGGAUUAAAGGGGAACACGAGAAGACUUUCGGCAGUUGGUUGCAGACACAUCUCAUGAAUGACGACACCGUUGGAGAUCAGCUAUACUGUUUGGCCAGGCCACCAUCUUCGACUAUAUGUACUUUCCAAGGGUAUGAGACAAAUGGGAAUACAUUUUACACGGUUGCCCGAGAUAAAAAGAGCACCAACCAAAAUAGUGGUGUCCGCUUUGAUGCAACAGACGAGAAUGGGCACUGUUUGGAAACAUAUUACGGGUACAUAGAGGAGAUAUGGGAAUUUGACUAUGGACCUACUUUUAAGAUCCCUUUGUUUCGAUGCAAAUGGGUGAAGCUGACAGGAGGCGGGGUAGUUGUAGACCAAAAGUACGACAUGGCAACAGUGGAUCUCAACAAUCUUGCGUACAUGGACGAACCAUUUGUCCUAGCCAAUGAUGUCGCUCAGGUUUUCUAUGUGAAGGACAUGUCUACAAAAACGAGAAGAAGAAAUCAGCAAAAGAAGAUAUCGUCCGAUGAGCCAAAACGCCACAUAGUUCUUUCAGGAAAAAGAAACAUCGUGGGAGUAGAUGAUAAGACAGACAUGUCAGAAGAUUAUAAUAAGUUUCAUGAAAUUCCGCUCUUCAAAGUGAAAACUGACCAAAGCAUCCUACUGAAUGAUGAAGAUUCUCCAUGGCUACGACCUAGAAGAAAAUAGAAAUAAUAGAUAGGAAUAUUGGUGCAAUAAUGUAAUAAUGUAUUAAACCUUUUAUGUAAUGCAUGUAUGGAAUGUACUAAAUUUCAAACACUUUUCAUUUUCAUAGUUUUAUCAAAUUCUCAAAUACACAAAAAGAAUUUUAAUAAACCUUUGUAAGAGAUGAGUUCUCGUUCGAAACCCUCAUACUUCGAGAGAGAUUGUCCAUUUUGUACACGAAGUGCAUCCAGUUUUUGUCGUAGCCCUCUCAACUUUUUAACACAUGCUAUGUGGGUGAAAUGAUGAUAGCAUGCCAACUUUCAACAUUUUCAGAGUUCAUUUGUAGUGCUUUUCAAUUUCAGGGUCAACUAGCUCAAAAAAAUAAGUAAAUGCACGAAGAAUACCAAAUGAAGUCAAAAAUUGUUGAAAUUUUGUGAUGUGCCUUUGAAUGGUGCAUUUUGAACACACAAAAAGUAUGGAGUUCAAAUAAGUUUAAAAAAAUGAAUUCCCUUUGUAAGAGAUGAGUUCUCGUUCGAAACUCUGAUACUUCGAGAGAGAUUGUUCGUUUUGUACACGAAGUGCAUCCAGUUUUUGUCGUAGCCCUCUCAACUUUUUAACACAUGCCACAUAACCUUAUAGGAGCAUACCACAUAACCUUAGCAGGAACCUUCUUCCUGGGGUAUCGUCAUCGCCCUCAACAUCAUCAGGGUCAUCCUGUCCGAUCUUGUACCGACAUGCAGUGCAUACCGGGCAUUUAUCCAUAUUCUCGUACUUCUCACCGCGGUACAGGAUGCAGUCAUUAAUGCAUGCAUGUAUAUUCUCCACAUCUAAUCCAAGAGGGCAGAUAGACUUCUUUGCUUCGUACGUAGUCUCGGGAAAUUCGUUAUCCUUUGGAAGCUUCGGCUUCAAUAUUUUCAGUAACUUCUCAAAUCCCUUGUCAGAUAAACCAGUUUCUACCUUCCAUUUCAAUAGUUCCAGUGUGGUACCAAGCUUUGUGCUGCCAUCUUCGCAAUUUGGGUACAACAACUUUUCAUGAUCCUUUAGCACGACCUCCAAUUUCAGCUUCUCCUUUUCUGUAUCGCAUUCUCUCUUUACAUCAGAAAUGACCCGACCAAGACCAUCAACGGGCUCAUCUGAUGCCGGUUGUUCUUCACCUCCUUCUUCUUCAUUGUCUUCCAUUGUAGUAUCACUGUAUUCUUCAGUGAACAUAGGAUAGUUGUCAUCACCAUCUUCUUCUUCAUUGUGUUCCAUCCUAACCCCUCUUUCUCCGUGCAUGGUCCAACAAUAAUAUGUGGGUAUGAAACCUCUCUGAAGCAAGUGGAGAUGAAUGUUUUUCGAUCUAGAGUAUUCCUUCACGUUUCGACAAACAACACAUGGACAAGGCAUAAAAUUAUCCACUUUGUUUGCCUUAGCCACAUCGAUAAAUUUGUGCAUGCCUUUUAUAAAUCCGGAACCGCGUCGUUCGCCGUACAUCCAUCACUUCCGUGCAUCGAUCUGGCAUCAUACAUGAAUAGUGAAAUGACCACCGUACAUUGACACAUGCAAUAUUUUUGUAUCAAUUACAGAUGAAAAGGAUAGGGUUGCUAACCUCGGUCGAGGAUACCAUUUUGUGUGAACUUAAGUGUGAUUCGGGCAUUAGUCGAGGUUCUUAAUGUACUCCGAAGUGUGUCGAUCACCGUACAUCCAUUGGCGAUUCAUCUCUAUUAUGAAAUUAAAUAUAUCAAAAAACCAUUGCAGAACAUAUGACCAAAUUAAUACAAGUUCAUCAUCACAUUAAAGCCAAAGAACAGUAGUGAUCAAAUGUUAUUAUUGCAAAAAAUAAAUACAUAAAGUUUUCUCAUAAAACAACAUACAACUAUGUAAAACAUUUAAAUAAAACAAAAAAUGCGAUCAAAAUCGCAACUAAGGUAACAAUUGACCAAACAGCAUAAUGAUACCAAGCCUCUUUAUCAAUGGCAUAUUUUCUAAUAUUUCUAAUCUUCAAGCGCAUUUUAUCCAUCUUCAAGCGCAUUGCAUCCAUCUUCAACCGCAUCACAUCGUUCUUCAUCUUGCGAUCAUCGAUGACAUCGGCGACAUGAAACUCCAGUUCCAUAUUCUUAUCCUCAAUUAUUUUCAAUUUUUUCUUCAAGUAUUUGUUUUCUUUUUCAACCAAAUUUAACUUCUCGAGAAGAAUUUCUAUGUGGUUUGGAAUUUCCGGUUCACAUACCUCCUAGAUUAAAAAAUAUAUGUCACAUUGGUCGUCAUAAUUGUCAUAAACACUAAAUAAAACAAAUAGUUAUAAAAGAUAAUAUAUACCACAUCCGAAUCAUAGACAGGACGAGGACCGACGGAGGCGGAUACCAAAACCAUCGCACUAUAUAAUAACAAAAAAUAAUGAAAGUGAGUAAUUUAUACAAGUAUGUAUCUAAAUCAUACAAGUAAGACUUUUUUCUUUUAAAAAGAAGAUAAGAACAAGAGGCUCACCACGGUGGUGCUCGCGACGAGAUCGGCGCGGGGCGAUCGACAAUGGUGAGGACGGGCACGGGACGACACCCUACACAUGUGCAGACUCUAAGAAGUUAAUUUGAGCAUUUGAAACCAGCUACACUAGCAGUGACAAAUGAAAGGAUGAAGUAGCUAACCUUUUAAAACACUUGUGCAGUUGGUGCACGGCCAAACCUAGACAAAUAUUAAGGAAAAUGGAGCUUGGAGGUCGAGCUUGGAGAGGAGAAAGCUUAAGUAGAGUGGCUCGGGCAUUUCAUAGAACACGUCAUGUGCAUGAACUAGAGUGGCAAGAGCAUGGCAUGGUCACACUUCAACAACCAAAAAACAGGGGAGAGGGUGGGCAGGCGCGAGGGUUUAUAUAGGCAACACUUUAGUCCCGGCUUUUGUCUAAAACCGGGACUAAUAGCCUAACCUUUAGUCCCGGUUCUUGCCACAAACCGGGACUAAUGCUCCGCGGCACGCCCCUGCUUCCCGCCUUUUGGUCUGCCGAAAAAGGGCCUUUAGUCCCGGGUCGUGGCUCCACCCGGGACUAAAGGGGGUCUUUAGUCCCGGAUCGAGCCCCGAACCGGGACUAAAGAUCCACCUAUAUAAGCGGGAGUCAGAAAAUUUCCAACCCAAAUCGCAUUUCCUUCUAUCCUUCUUCCUCGUUCUCCUGCCCAGCGCGGCACAGCGACGAACUCGGCGACGCCGUCAGGCUCCCCGCCGUCCUGCUCGCCGCCGCCUGUCGUCGCCGUCGUCCUCCUCGCCGCGCGCCGCCCUCCUCGCCGUGCGUCGCCGUCCUCCUCGCCGCGCGCCGUCGACACCUCCGGCCGGUAAGCCCCCCACCCCCUCCUCCCCAACACUCUGACCAGUAGAAGAAAAGAAGAAAAAGGAGAAGAAAGGAAGAAAAAGGAGAAGAAAAGAAGAAAAAGGAGAAGAAAGGAAGAAAAAGGAGAAGAAAAGAAGAAAAAGGAGAAGAAAAGAAGAAAAAGGGAAGAAAGGAAGAAAAAGGAGAAGAAAAAGGGAAGAAAACAAGAAAAAGAUUUUUUUUGUCAUUUAAUUCCUAUUGUUAUUAGGUUUGUGCUAGAUUAUUAGGGUUAGUAAUAUGUAGAAUUAGGAAAAAGGAAAAUAAGAAGAGGAGGAGAAGAAAAGAAGAAAAAGGAGAAUAAGAAGAGGAGGAGAGGAGAAGAAGAGGAAAAAUAGAAGAAGAGGAGAAGUAGAAGAAGAGAAAAAAAUUAGAAGAGGAGGAGAGGAGAAGUAGAAGAAGAGAAGAGGAGAAGUAGUAGAAGAAGAGGAGAAGAAGAAGUAGAAGAAGAGGAGAAAUAGAAGAAGAGGAAAAAUUAGUAUAGGGUUACAAGAAGAAGAAAUUUUUUUUGUCAUUUAAUUUUGCUAUUGUAUAGUGUAUAUGCUUAAGUGUUAAUAGUGUUUCUUAGAUUAUUGCUUAAUUUUGCUAUUGUAUAUGCUUAAGUGUUAAUAGUUUAAUUUUGCUAUUGUAUAUGCUUAAGUGUUAAUAGUUUAUUUUUAGCAAGAAAAUUAAUAGAACUAGUUUAAUUUUGAUAUUGUAUAUGCUUAAGUGUCCGAGACUAGGCUUCGCCUGGCUAGUAUUUUAGAGUUUAGGUUCUAGCCAAGACCCGGGACUAAAGAUCCUCCUAUAUAAAACGACACUUCGAAGUUUCCAACCCCUCUUAUAUAGUUUGUUAGUUUAUUAGUUAAUCAAAUGUCCGUUUUUUGCAGAACUAUGGAUCCACAUAUCAGGAACCUCGAAGAGGAAGAACUUCUCAAAGAUAUAAUCAAAGACGGCCCCGACGUUGAACCAGCUGAAUCUCCGUAGUCAUAUCUAAACCCCUCCAAAUAUGGAAUGGAGGUCGAGCGACACGAAGAUGAAGCCAAUGGGGCAGGAGAUAGGUCCAAUGACGAAGAAGGUGAUAGCUCCACUGAUGGAGAAGCCGGUGGAGAAGCCGGUGAAGAAAUAAUAAACUCCGGCGAGGUAUACAUAUGAAGUUCGACAAUCACUUGUAAUAUGUGAAAAAUAUUGGAGAUAGCUCUAUAUUGUAUGCAUAUACAUUCAUUUGACGAAUGUUUCUCCCUCUUAGGCCUCCACAUCGAGCAAAGCUACGAAACGAGGCCCGACUAGAAAGUUGGAUGCACGGACGCAUUACACCUUUGAGGUGAUAUUGCCUACGGACGAACCCAAGCUUCCUAAGAAUACUGCUGACACAUUUAAGAAGCAAUGCAGAGUUCUCGUUAGGGAUCACGUCCCGAUCAGCGUUUGGGAGUGGAACAAGCGCAAAGGGGCAGCCGAUAGUGACUAUGUCGCUGAAAGGUACAAAGAUAAUCUUUGGAAUGAUCUCAUGUCACAUUUCAACCUGCCAGAAUGUGAGAAUGAAGACGCCGCAGACAAACUGAGGGCCAAAGUCAAGCAGUGGACUUUAAAGAAGAUGGCCGAACUGUUCCGUAGCUGGAAGAAGAAGCUAUGGAAAAACUAUCUGAAGACAAAGAAAAGUGCCAGUAUUCGAGGGGUAUCUAGCCAAGCAGGCGAAUCACUCGACAAACGCGAGGCUUCGGUCCUUCUUACCCGUGGUGGCUUGGGUUUGCCAGAGACCAAGACACUUACAGAAGCCGAGAGAGAGCAAAGAAGCGGCGGCAGAGGAUGAGGAGAAUGACAAGUUCAACCAGUUGCUUGCGAGGAUUAACGAGCAACAGAAGCAGAUUGAUGAGCUUAGAGGAGUAGCGCGCCAGGAAGAUCCUGCACUUGAUAUUACCGGCGCACCAUCUAAGCGGAAAAGCAGCGUGGCUGAAUCUGAGGCCCCGCCUGACGAUGCACGAAGAAUGAUAGAGGGCGGUCCCAGCUACCCCGUGGAUGGAAUCAAGGAGUCAACAUCAUGUGAACUCCAUCAGAAAUUCAAGAACAUAUCCAUGAAGGUGGCCGUCAGACAAGCUUUACCUUCUGGUCCUGAUGCACGCUGGCAUGGCCGUGAGAUUCCAGCUGUCUUUGCUAAAGUCGGGGUGGAUGAAAUCAUGGCGGGGUUUCAUGAUAUGGAGCUCGACAUAGCUGGACCCGAAGAUGAGAGGACACUCGGAGAAGUACUGGGUGGAGUCAUCCUAUGGGACAAGAACUACAUCAAGCUUCCAGGCUCGGCCCCAAGGACAACACCGCCUUCGAGUCGUCGCAGGUCACCUACACCUCCAUUACCUCCAAGCCCUCCACAUGACGUAGUCUAGCACAACACGAGUCCAUCUCGAUCACCGCUGCCGGACUUGGGUCGUCCGUCUCCGCCACCGCCCGCUCCGGAUACUAAGCGGGAGCGUGCCACCAAGAACGCUCCGUCGACGAUUUCUAAGCGACGGAGCCCCCAAAAGCGCAAAUGGUCACCCCUCCCAAAGGUACCUCAUGCUAAUCUUCCUAUCAGACCUUAUGAUCGUACCCCCGAGGAAAAUGCCAGGAUAGCAAAGGAACAUCAUGAUGCGCAGAUGAAAAAGAAGGAACCAGAGCCUCGCCCGGAAUACACCGAGAAGCAAAUAGCAUUUGCAAAAUACUUCACGACCCUUCCAUCACAGUAUGACUUACACCAUAAGCCUGAUGACUAUACACGCACAUUGCAGAAGGAAGUGAAAAAGAGCAGAUCACGUGCAAGUGCAAGUGGGAGCAAAUCAAGUUCAACUACAAGCAAGAAAAAAUCAGACGUUUCUCAACUUGGACAACAGGCCAAACAGUCGAUCCCACCCCUCAAGGUGUUAACCGAGAAUGUCCCCCCCCCCCGGUGCAGGGGCAAGAUUUUGAAUUAGCAAAGAAGUGGGCGGCUGAAUGGGGUGUCUCGGUUGAAGAUGUUCUGGCUUCCCAAGACGACAGGUUACCCAAGGCUGUGGUAGCCCCUAAGCCACAGUUUGUCAUGAGAGAACCUUUGGUCAGCAAAGAUGAUCUCCCAAUAAAUAUGCGUUACUUGCAUACAUGGUACUUAAGUGAAUCAAAGAAUGGGAGAACGAUGAUCGUGGUGAGUGUCCCACGGGAGUACUUCGGCCGCCCCGAAGAAAUCCAUAUCAACUUUGAUGAACUCUUCCAUAUGUACAAUGGCGACGCCCUCGACAAAUCGCUUAUGAGUUGCUAUUGUCUGUAAGUUUUUCAAUUCGUUGUCUACAUAUAACUUGUUUAGUUAUUUCAAUUCAUUGUCUAUAUAUAACUUGUACUCUAUUAUGCAGAAUGAAGAUUCUGGAUUGUAAAAGUAAGAACAUCCUAAAUAUUGGGUUUAUUGACCCAGAUAAAAUACAUAUAGCGACACUAACUGAUAAACCUAAGGAGACGGAGGAAAACCUUCUAAGGUUUCUAACAGAUCAAAAAUUUUGUGACCACAUACUGUUUCCAUACAACUUCAGGUGGGGGUCUUUACUCUGUUGUGUCCAUUCACUUAUAAGUGUAAUUGAUAAGUUACUGACACACACUCACACACAUAUAUAUAUAUACAUGUGCAGCUUUCAUUGGAUUCUGUUGGACAUUCAAAUUGAUAAGGGAAGAGUUGAUGCCUUCGACCCAUUAUCGAGACCCUUGGAACAAUUCCAAAGCCUGCAGGACAUGCUCCAAGGGUAAUUUCAAUCAUUCUUGCGCUCUAUCGGUCUCUUUCGAUGAUUUUCUGAUAUAUCAAUUAAUAAAAAACUUAGCAAAUCAUUAUCCUUGUCGGGCAGGGUUUGGAAGCGGUUCAAGUGCGUGACUCCCGGUAUCGAGCCUGAGAAGCUGACCUUUAGAGCGGCUCAGGUAAGUAGUAGUAUGAUAUACUUCUAUUUUCAAUACAUUUAUGAUGCUAGAUUAUUAUUUUGAUUAUAUAUAUUCUAUUCUCGUAAAGUGCGACCAGCAGCCACGGGGGACGCAUCUAUGCAGAUACUAUGUUUGCGAGACCAUUCGCACGUUUACCUCUGAGCACAAGGAUCACAAAUUCGACGUAAGCAAUGAACAUUCACACCUCUAUUUUUUACCCGUCAUUCUUUGUUAUCAUGAUUGAUAUUCAUAUUCAUCUCCUCUUCUUAUAUAGUACACGGCCAUGAGGACGAAGGUCCUACCAGAGCAACGCGCGAUUGCUGUUGCAGAGGAGCUUGCGACCUUUCUGAAGACGGAAGCUAUAGAUGACAAAGGAUGAUUUAGUGNAUUGUUUUACCUAGGUUCACGUGCUUAGCAUUGUUUCUUCAUGGGUCACCAAACUCAUCUCUUUCCUAUUAAUUAGCUUGUCACAUCAGAUUUUUUAUCUAUGUAUCAGUUUUAACAUCUGUAUAAGGUGGAGCAUUCGGAGUAGCCUAAUAUGAUUGUCGGUACUCAAUAGUACAUGGAAUACACAGCAGUGAGUGGGCCAUGACACUUUAAAUUCGUAUUAGAUAUGCAAUCGAAAAGAUCUUAUAUUAGUUUGCAGAGGUAUUACUGAUCAAAAUGUCAGUUUUAUUGAAGGCCGGUCUCAAACAGUAUAGUGAUGUUCUGAUCAAGAUAUCAGUUUUAUUGCAGUAACAAGCUAGAGGAUGAAAAGCACAAGCCUACUUUCAAUAUCUAUACGAGAGUAGGCAACUAAGCAUAGCUAAAUUGAGUAUAUUUAGCCAGCAGCGCCAGCACACGGUGGGUUAAUUAAGCGGUGCGAACUACUUCCCGGUUACACAAAACACACCUCAUUGCCACGUAUAUUAGGGGGAUACAUUCGUACUAGCUCUUGCCGUUGGCGGGCAGGUUCCGGAUUCGUCUCGCCGGGGACAAGGCACGAACGUGCACUUUAGGCAGGCGCGCAGUCAUAGUCGUCAUCAUUGUCGUCGUCGUCCGACUCAGCCUUCCUAUGCCGCCCGCCGCAGCAGUCGUCACUCGGCGCGGCAUCGCAAACGGCAUAGGUGGCAAUGCCGCCGUCUUGGACGACGAUGGGGCUCAUGACCAUGGACGCCGGCGCCAUGACGAGGAGCUAGCUUGAGUAUGCAGGCGAAUCACAAGCUUGAGGUCUAAGCCUGGCGAUGCUAGCCGUGUUGGUGUUGUUGGCAAUAAGCCACGGUGAGCGUAGCCUGCAUGCGUGCGGGCGUGAGCUGGCCGCGUCGGAUCCGUGGCAGGUGUCCCUGUGUGUGUCUAGGCAUAGUCUGGUUAGUGUUCAACUUACAGGAUGGUCUGGCCAUGGUCCGUGUAUAGUCCGGCUAGUUUACAGGCUGUGUGCGUGCGUGAGUGUGUGUCUGUUAGCUAGAUAGCCGAGGAUGUGACCGCGUCGCCUGCACUAGAAAUGGCCGCGUUGUUCGCGUUGGAGCGCGAUGGGUGCGCUGGCUGGGAGUGCGAGACGUGGAGAGCGAGUCUCCUGGUGGAGUUCAGUUUGAUUAGACAAUGAACUUUAACACUACAAACUAAGUUGUUACAUGUUACAUAAUCUGCAUCAGCACAUGGCUCGGAUAGAUUAAACAAUUACACAAUCUGCAUCGGCACACGGCUAAACUAAAAUAUGACCAUCAGAUCAACAUAAACUAUGCACUGGACCAUGUGCUUACUAUCAUUGUUAAUACAAAAAAUACAGCUUUUGUGCAGCAUCUGACCUUAUUAGCACACACUCAUAACCUCUUGCCCAUGUCAAAUCCUUCAAAGACCACACACCUCUCAGCUGCCAGACUAUGGUGCUCGCAAGGAACCAUCGGUGUUGUCUCAACGCCCAUGUAGUCCUGGUCUUCAAUGCUAGCAGGGACCUACAACAAAAAAAUGAACAAAGAAUCCCCCAAAUCAAAUUGAAUCCCCAAGAACACAAACCCUAACUCUAAGCCUAGUUCUACAACUCACCAGGUACUUCAUGCCGUCGAAGGAGGAGCUGAUGUGCAGCAGGCUAGAGUAGUUGUUGUUGUUUUCGUUCUCGUACACCAUGGCACUAUGACGGCGGCGACGGUCGACCGCGAAUCGGAGGAGGGAGGAAGAGAGCUCGAGGAGAGCAAGAGAGUGCGUAGGGGUUCGGCUAGGUUCGAUCAAGCCCACCAAGAUCGACCGUACCGGCUUCGUCCUAGUCAGCAGAGCGGCACAUGCUAGUUGGCCAUGUAUCACUAAUAGGUGGGGCCGCACGGUCAGAUACACGCUCAAUAUAGGGUUAUACGGCUGUCAGACCUUUUUGCAACAAUUAGGUCCUAAAAUGAUACUAAAUUGCGACCAACAUGAUUUGUGGUACUGACUCGUAACAUGGUGCCGAAGUGUGAUAGCCCCCUGCAAUUAACUCGUUCUCGUAAGGGUUCCCCUGUGUCUUCUGCGAGGAUGACGUGGCGGUCGGGGUCAGGUCCGACGCAUUAACAUAAUAACAUGCUGCUACAUGACAUUGACGGGAUUACCCUCGACUCUUCGUUGAACAAACUUAGGCAUGUGUUAAUGAAGGUUUCUUAGCGCAGGUUUAUAGGCAUUUUGCUGAUGUGUCACAACAGUUAAUGAUGAGAGAAAGUAGGAUUGUAUCUUAGCUAAGAUACAACAUCUGCACGUCACCAUAUGUAAAAAUGGUUAAUAGGUCAAUCACAUCUAUGCAUCAACACCAAAUUAUUAAAUUUAGAGACAACCUCUAAAAAAUAAUACAUUGGGUUAGUAGUCUCUUAAGUUAUUAAUGCUUCUAUCAUAAUGUGCUGAGAAACCAUGCAUUGGCACAGGAUUUAUGCAACAAUAACUGAUGCAAAAAAUGGCAACAAAGGAUAGCACAAAGGAGCAUGCAAUGAUGGAGCUAUUACUUCGGUAGGUAACCAUUCCACAAGAGACACAAAUACAUACAUCAUCUCGGUUGCGUGGCAUUAAACAUUCCACCGAAUGUUGCCCGUGGCGCUUAUUUUCAUCUGUAUAAUAGCCAUGAAUAUAUCCGACACACCUAUAAUAACUCAAAUAAUCCCUCACAAAAAAAAUUAAAAUAAUAGAUAUAUGUCUAUCAUAGUGAGCCGCCCAAUUAAAGAAUGAACAUCUCACAUUGAACACUCACUGGAAUUAUAACAACACACAGUAAACAACCAUUUAGCUGGCCAAUUAAUGACUCAGUUAGAUUAAACAAUGAACUUCAACGCUGCAAACUAAGCUGUUGACAUGUUACACAAUCUCCAUCAGCGCAUGGCUCGGGUAGAUUAAACAAUUACACAAUCUGCAUCAACACAUGGCUAAACUAAAAUAUGACCAUCAGAUCUGCCAACAUAAAUUAUGCACCGGACCAUGUGCUUACUAUCAUUGUUAAUACAAAAAAUAUAGCUUUUGUGCAACAUCUGACCUUAUUAGCACACACUAAAAACCUCUUGUCCAUGUUAAAUUCUUCAAAGGCCACAUGCCUCUCAGCUGCCAGACCAUGGUGCUAACAAGGAACCAGCGGUGCUGUCUCAACGCCCAUGUAGUCCUGGUCUUCAAUGCUAGCAGGGACCUACAACAGCAAAAUGAACAAAGAAUCCCCCAAAUCAAAUCAAAUCCCCCAAGAACACAAAUCCUAACCCUAAACCUAGUUCUACAACUCACCUGGUACUUCAUGACGCCGUCGGAGGAGCUGAUGUACAACAGGCUGGAGUAUUCGUUGCUGCUCUCGUCCUCGUACACCAUGGCACAACGACGGCGGCGGCGGCAAUGGUCGACUGCGAAUCGAAGGGGGGAGGGAGAGAGCUUGAGGAGAGGAAGAGAGUGUGCCGGGGUCCGGCUCGGUUCGACCGAGCCCGCUAAGACCGACCGCGUCGGCCUCGUCCUACUCAGCAGAGCGGCACAUGCCAGUUGGCCAUGUAUCACUGAUAGGUGGGGCUGCGCGGUCAGAUCCACGAUCAAUACAGGGUUAUAUGGCUGUUAGACCUUUUUGCGACAAUUAUGCCCUAAAAUGGUACUGAACUGCGACCAACACGAUUUGUGGUACUGACUUGUAACAUGGUAUCGAAGUGUGGUAACUCCCUGCAAUUAACUCGGUCAGGUAAGGAUUCCCCUGUGUCGUUUACGAGGACGACGCGGUGGUCGGGGGUCAGGUCCGACGCUUUAACAUAAUAACAUGCCGUUACAUGGCAGUGGCUGCAAUACCCUUGACUCUCAUCCGCAAAAAAAAAGGAUUACCCUCGACUCUUCAUUGAACAAACUUAUGCAAUAAUAACUGAUGCAAAAAAUGGCAACAAAGGAGCAUGCAAUGAUGGAGCUAUUACUUCGGUGGGUAACCAUUCCACAAGAGACACAAAUACUCCAUCCCGGUUGCCUAGCCAUAAACAUACCACCGAAUGUUGCCCGUGCCGCUUGUUUUCAUCUGUAUAAUAUCCAUGAAUAUAUCCGACACACCUAUAAAUAAUAACUCAAAUAACCCCUCACAAAAAAAAACUGAAAUAAUAAAUAUAUGUCUAUGUGUUGCCUGUGGUGCUCAAUGUUUUCCCUCUUGUUCUCCCCAGCGAAGAGUUGGGCACAGAGAAGUAUGAAUGUGGGCAGAUGUAUAUGUCACCGAGUGGAGCAUAUGCUAUGUAAAUAGUAGCAUGAAGCCACGAACACUAUAUAACUGAAAUUUAUAAAAAAAACUGUUAUAUUUGAUAAUCCUGCAUUUAUAAAACGUUCUAUGUGUAUUAAGUUCUUGUUUAUUUUAAAAUGUUAUUGGUGCAUUGAACAAAUAUUCAGAUCCUAGUUUUAAAACAAUAUGUAUCUAGCCUUUUAAAAAAUACAUCAUGUUUCAAAAAGUGUUCAUAGGGAAAAGAGGAAAAGUCCAAAAACAGAAUUAGAAAAUACAGGAGAGUGAAUAGAAUAAAAAUAAUAAGAAAAGGAAAACAAUAGAAGAGGAGAAAAUGUACAUAGGAGCACAUAAACACAAAAAUAAUAAAAGAUGUUCAAUUACGUACUUUUAAAAAUUGUUCACAUAUAUUGAGACAAAAGUUAUCUACUUUAAAAUAGGUUUAUGGAACUAAAAAAUUUAUUUGCAUUUGUUUAUUUUCACGUAUUAACAAAACAUAUUCAUGUAAUAAAAAAUACGGUGCCAUUUCAAUGUAUUCUUUUGCGUAAAAUUUAGAAAGUGUCAGCACCCUUUUAGAAAGGUUUGUAUAUUUUCAAAAAUAUUUCUGUCGCUACCGGCAAUAUCAAUGCGAGUUUGAUGAGUCGAUAAACCAAUGAAAAACGCAAAUACUCCUUAGUUUGAACAAUCUUGACAAACAGACUUGAUAGACUAUCAUAACCACAGAAAAAUUCUUUUCGAAAGGCCGGGUCAGGUUCAAUCUCAGCUGGAUUAAAUCUUUGAGGAAUAUCAUUUUGCAAAUUAUUUGUAUCAGUCUCUGUACUUAAUACCGUCGAAUCAAUAGCUUCGGAACUGGUUGCAUUUACUUCAGAUUCGCAAACUUGGGGUCUAGACUGAUUUACUGGGAUAGCUUUGAAAAAAGAUUCAAUCUGCUUCAUCUUUUUAAGUCCCUGCAACAUCAUAGUUUUAACUAACUUUUAGUGUUUAACUUUCAAGAAUUAGGCCAAGACGACAACCAAUUAAGAAGACUAGGACAACGAAAGAACCUGCUCCUUGUUGCAUCUGGUGGCUGCUCGUUUGUUGUUUUGAGCAGGGAUCAUGGCGACCGCGGCGGCGACGUCGCAGGCGGCUGCGGCAUGCGGCGACGCCGCUUCCUGUGUGGACGGCGACGCGAACAGGCGGACUCGCUUAUCGUUUUCCAUCUAGUACCAUCGGCUGGACUAACCUGUGCAGUGCCGGUGACUGUGAGACGACAGUGGAGGCGGCGGCUCGUCCCCAGGGUGUGAUCGCUCGAGGCUGGGUUUAGAACAAUAAGGUCCACGAUCAAUAGAAAAUGAACUAGUCAGGAUGUGUUUUAUUGGGCUUACUUAAUUGGCCCAUCUAUAGCGAGCAGCUACUUGACGAAACAUUUUCUUCUUCCUCACAUUGGCUCGACGAUACCUCAUACCUGGGACUUCAGGAGAAGCUGCUCGCCUCCCAUGGUAGCCACCGCCCAAAAUUAGUAGGGGGUACCCUAGGUUUCAAAAAUUUAACCGGGGCCACCGUCCCUACAUGACCCUACGCUGGAGCCGCCCCUUCUUUCAUCCUCUUAAUUCUGCACCCCAGUGCACUAAUUAAGUUCAGAAAUAAAAGGAUGUCACUGAAGAGCAUUUGACAGAGCUCGCCCAUUCAUAGCUCACGCUUCUCCCCCAAAUAGAUGCUUCGAAACGUACUUGGCCCCACCUUUGGUCGAAGUUGCAGAGCCCCGGUGCAAGGUACCUCCUGAACAACAUCAACAUUCGCCGCACUGCACAGUCGUGACGUGUUCAUUCUGAAGUUGUGUCAGUAUAUGCCAUCAUCUUCAUCGUCCACGAUUUACCGCGGCAUCGAGGAUAUAUACUUUUUAUGGGAUAUUAUUAUGAUUUCCAGCCAAAUAGUCCUUCUAAUGAUCAAAAAUUCGUAGUUGAGGCCGAGCACCUCGGUGCGCUACAUCUGGUCCGUCCAGUAUCGUUGGGGAUCCGCGCGCUCCCUGUAUUACCGAGACUUGCCUCCCGUAUCGUCUGCACGAUUCCUUGUAUGACGGGAGACAGAGGAGAGAAUCCGGUGCAGAAUUUAGCCCAUAUCAUCAACAGUACGAUCUGCACAUGCAUGUGAGAAGUACCAAUGCGCAGGUCCAAAUAGUGUAUACAUCGUGGAAAUAGUGUGUGGAAUCCGGUCCAGCAGGGUGGUCAGGUCAAAUCAAUAAUACUUUCCUAUUUUUUGUUAGGCCAUUCACCAGGGAAUGCAUUUACCCCCAAGCGCCCAUCCCACCUGCGUGCAACAUCGCCUUCUUCAUCCUCCACUUGCGUACAAACAAUCAGCAAGCAUGAACUGUCGACCCUACUGCAGUUGGAAAAUGGAUUAUAAGCAAAACUAUUAUCCAUUUCACCAAAACAAAUUCCAGCUACACAUCGGCCAUUAAACAAACCACACACGUUAUAUGAAAUCAAUCCAGCAGUACACGUCAAACUAAAAUUAUGAAAUCAACCCCUCAACUAGUGUUGUUUUCCAUAAAACCAAUUCAAGAUCCAGUCAUUCACAAUCAUAUCAAAUCUAGUUAUUUGCAGGCUCACAACUAAAUUGACGGCAAACUAAAUUCUGAACCUAAAUCAAAAAUUUAUAAAGUCUGAAUUAUCAAUGGUUAAGCAUGAGUGAUUUUUAUCAUCCAAUUCAGUCCCAGUUAAGGAUUCAUGUCAGCUUCAGACCCACAACCCGUCUAGAAAAGUACUAAGACUAUUUUCUCUUUAAAGAUUCAUGUCAGCUUGAGGCCCAUGUCAGCUUCGGUUGAACACUUCAUGCCUGGACCAAGGGGCAAACAUUUGUGCCAAAUAGCGACGGCUAAACAAAUUAGCUCCUAUUGCUAGUGCAGCAUGCAAGGGGACAGCCACCUGACAGUUUAGAAUCCCCACACACGCUUGGACACACCAGAUGUAGUGCACCGAUUUGCUCGGUCACACAAACUUCGCAUUCUAAUGAUGCAGUUUGGUGGUACAGUGGAACACAGGUUUACCGGAACAGAAUGUUAUUCCUUCAUGAUCAGGUUACACAGGUUCACUGUGGCAAAGUCUCAGGACCAAGUUCAGCAAGAACUAAACGAAAUUCAGCACUUCCAUUCAAAGAAUAAAAUCAUGCCAAAAAACGAAAUUCAUCAGUUACAUUGAAAGAACGAACCCGUGUCACUCAGGUACGGUACAGCAAAUUAAAGGCCUGCAGCCCCAAAUACAGAAAUAAAUAUAACGAAAUUCGUGGUUUACAUCCCAAGAACGAGAUCAUGCCACACAUUGUCAGUACAGCGAAGAACUCGCAACAAGUUCUGGAAGUAACAAAUAGAUAAGUUGUAGGAACCUGUCCAAAGAAAAACAGAACACUUCCUUCACCAGCUCGCUACACAUCAAGGACUUGAACAUCUUCAGCAUUGACAGCCUUCCUCAUAGCUUAGUAUUUCUGAUGCUUUGACCCACCGGAGUAAACUGUGGCAUCAGUCCUUGGCUGCCACGUUUUUGUCCAGCAUAACUGUGUUGGGAAACAGACCGUAGUAGUUACAAGAAACAUACAAUACGGUUACACAAACAAGUUCCUACAAGUAUAUGUGACCUCCACUAUCUCAAAUAUAAAAUUGGGGUAUUGUUCGUCACAAUAAGAGAUCAAGGCACGCAACAACUAUCUGUUUAUGCAAGCACACACGUAGGGAAAAUAGGUUUAGAUCGCUGCCUAUAUUAUAAACUCUAAAAGGACAAUUAUGAGAAUCUAAGCAACAUAAAUAAGUUUAGAUUGAUAAUUUGUCUGCCUGCAAUCCGUGCAUCCAUGGACAUCUACUAAAGCACUUUUGGAAUAUGUAGAGGAGAUUUAAGCAUUUCUGGUGCUUAACAGCAUACGCAUAAUGGCAUACAAAGCUUGAAAUAUAUGCAUCAGAUGAGGCAGAAAACUAUGAUUUGUGAAUACUGAUUAUGGUUCAGUAAAUCAAAGGAACAAAACGACAUGUCCAACUAGUGUAUAUAUGUAGUGUUUGUACCUUGUGCCUUCACCACUGGCAUCUAACUGGUAGACAAAGUGUAGAUGUCCAGGUCUUCACCAUGAAGCCGCUGGUGCUGGUUUUGAAGCCCGGGCACCCAGCCGGAAGAGAUCUCUUGCAUAUCCUCGCCCAGCCCCAGCUGCUGCAAACUUACCAACCCCUCAACAUGGCUUAAGUUUGGACAACCACGUACACGCAGUUCUGUCACUUGAGGGAGGUUGGAGAUCCUCUGCAGGCCUUCACAUUUCUUAAUGACAAGGAGUUCAGAGAGCAACAGGAGGUCCUCCACGGCCUUCAAGCUGUUUGUACCAACUAAUCUGAGCUCCUUCAAGCUAGUUGUCUCCUUUCCAAGUUGUCGCGGGAGAGCCCUCAACUUCGGGCAACCCUCGAGUGCCAACAGUACCAAACUAGGCAGCACUGGAAGCCUUGCAGAUUGAGCAUCCUCUUUUCCAAUUUCAGCAGCUCCAUCCUCUCCCCAUGCACCAGCAGCAACUUCUUCCUCAAAAGAAGACCACACCUCCCAGUUGGGCAUAUCCCUGAAGAUCAACCAUUCAAGUUUAGGAAAAGCAACCAGCUCAUUGCAUACAGGAUCACCUCUCUUGCAGCCAAAAAAUUCAGAUCCAACCUUGGUAACAGCAUGUGCUCCAUCAAUCCUCAGAUAUUUCAAGUUUGGCAACUGCCAAAUCGGUGGAAGAUGCACCCAUGAUCGUACAUCUUCGAGUUUCAAUUCUAUUAAAGAAGACAAAUAGGUGAUAUCAAACCAGGUGGGAUACCGCUGACCAAAGAAUUUAAUGAUAUAUAGGUCUUCCAGGUUAGGUGGAGGUAUUAGUUGCUCAAUGACCUUCUCAUCAUUGCUGACAUCUUCUUCUGAAUAUGAUCCCUCUCCACGUCCAGUCCACUUUAGUAAUAGUUGUUUUAGAUGCUUUUUGUCUGUCAGCAGUGCAUCUGUACUGCAAUGAGCUGCUCUAUCCAAAUUAACAAGAGAAAGAUACCUCAUCUGCGACAAAGAAGACAACUCUUCCAACAUCCAUCCAUCUUGUACAACGGCAUUAUCACUUCCAUCACCAACAGGAUAACAUCUGAAACAAGUAAGGAACUUCAAUUUGCCUAUGCCUUUUGGAACCUGAUUUAUUUUUGUGCUAAAAAGAUCAAGACAUCUUAAACUGCACAACAAUGUCACUGCCAAAGGAAGAUUGUGCAGGUCAUUACACCAUCUCAAGCUCAGUGCUUGAAGGUUCUUUAGGGAGCCAAUGGAUUCCGGAAGACAAGAUAUGCCAGUAUGAUCUAGAUUAAGUAGACGUAGAUGUAUCAAUUUUCCUAUAUAGUCUGGGAUGCUUUGUACAAGUGAGUAAUUCAGUACCAAAACACGAAGAAGCAGAAAUCUCUUGAACAAUGUAUCCCCACUUCUCCAUGGACCCUUAACAGUUAGGAAUGUCCUCACCUUAACCUCCAUCUGAUCCACUCUAGGUAACACCAACAUAUCCUUCUUAAUUACGGCAGUAAUACGUCUCAGUUUUGACAUAUUUCCACUCCUUAAUGUUUCAACAUCUCCAAUAAAACAUUCUUCUCUUGAUAUGUUCAGUGCAAGUUGCCUUAAGAGGUCAUGCAUUUUGCAGCGAGACAUGUUAAAAUAUAAGAUAUCUGGUUGGAGGAGAUUCCGGUGGAUUAGCUCGUGGUAGUACUCUUCUGCUAUGUCUUCUAGUAGUUGACCUUGCUGCUCCUCGAUGAAGCCUUCAGCAAUCCAUAACCUGGUAAUGUCUCCACGCAGCAUCAUAGAAUCUUCAGCAUACAGAGCACAAUAAAGGAAACACUGUUUCAGACGAUGCGGCAACUCAUCAUAGCUUAGAUACAGAGCUCCUUCUAUUUCAUCAGAGAGCAUGCUCUGAGAACCAGCAUAUUUGCCCAAAUAAUUUUUCCACUCAUUCUCUGUUAGAUCUCUGCUUGCCAAAGCACUAGCGGUAACCUUGAUUGCAAGAGGGAGGUGACCACAUUUACGAACAAUCUCAAUCCCCGUGUUUCUUAAAUUCUGCACUUCUUUCUCUUCCUCAAUGUUCAUGCUCUUCCAAAGUAGCUCCCAUCCCACCUCUACUGACAUGAGAUCAACUUGAUGGGUAUGUUGUACACCUAUUUUCCUUGUAAUUUGAUCAUCUCGUGUGGUUACCAAUAUUACUCCGGCUGUUGUUUCAUGUAAUGCAGGUCUUAAUAAAUCCGUCCACACAUUGGAAUGCCACACGUCAUCUAGAACCAGAAAGAAACUCUUUCCUUCAAUUGUUUCUGCAAGCUUCCUCUGCAGCUCUGUUAUGGUUUCACCUUGCUCAUGAUGCACACCAAUAUUCCAAAGAACCUCUUUAAGAAGAGUUAUUUCGUUGUAGUCUUGUGAAACACAAAUCCAUGCGUGCAACUUGAAGCUUCCUUUUACUUUCUGAUCGUUGUAUAUUUUUUGAGCUAGUGUUGUCUUACCAACUCCUCCUGUUCCAACAAUAGCAAGCUUGUAAGACUUGCUUUCCUUGUGUGCAAGAACUAAGUCCACCAGCUUCCUGGUAGCAUAUUUGAUCUCCUUCCCCACAAGGUUGGGCUCAACAAGGUUGGAGCUUCUUAUCAGUUUGGAUGUUGGACCAUUUCUAGAAGACUGUAUACUAGUGUUGAAUGUUAAAAAUAUCUUGUCAUUUGCAAUGUUCUCAAUCUUUUUGUUGAGGCUUCUAAUCCGAACAGCAACAUCACGACGUGACCAGAUGUUACAAAAACAAGAGGAAACUGAGAGGCCUUUGCAUGCAGCUGAUUUGCUUGAUGAUGAUGAACGAUCAUCAGGCAGUAGUUUGCUUGCUUUACACGUAGCCACGUCCAGGAUUUCAUCAACAUCAUAUAUAACAUCUCUAAGUUGACCAAGCCAAUUGUUUACGGCUAGCUCUUUUGUCCUCCUUUUCUCAGCAUCAUAUAUGCAACAUUUUAUCAGUUCUACUCGUCGCAGGAUUUCUCUGAGCUCUUCUUCCACCCCAAGGAUUAGUAUGACCUCAUCUGUAAUGAUAUUUUGCAACUUACUGGCACAUGAUCCAAGCAAAGAUUCAAGUAUGGCUGCCAUGGAUCAGACAAACUCGUCAAGGAAGAUCUGCCAAAAACACCAUGGUGACUUGAUUCUGAGAAUGGCAGAAACUGGAAGCUGAAAAUGUAGCAUGCUUUCAAAAAUGAGAUAAGGGUCUACAGAUACACUAGAAGAUAUCACUACUUCGUUGCUAUUUACAUUUAGAAUAGAUUUUGCAUAAUGAAAGCUACGUAUGCAACGUACAUACAGAUUCAGCACCUUGAGUAGCACCAUGUAUCAAGGACUAAGUUCUAGAGCUGCCACUGGGUCUUUUAUUUUAUUGUUUGUGCUUGCAAAAUUACAUGUGCGUUAGCUUUUCAUGCAAAGUAUUCAUCGGUUUGUCUUGCCAGUUAAGGACGCCGUCCAAUGGCAGCUGCAUAGCAAUCUGCAUAUGGACUGAAUCAAAAGAAAUGUUGCACCGAGUUAUAUUCCUAGGUAACCUCAACCUAGGAAUGCCUGUUUCACUUCCUUGACAGAGCCAACUGAGAUGCUCUGUCUCGAUGUUGACCUAACAUGGAUUGAUUCUAAAUUAUGAAUCAAAAAUCCUGAUCUCGCAAAGGAUCCACAAUAGCUGUGUGUACUCGAGGACUCUUAGGGAAAGAAAAGGACUUUUCUCUCUCAGCAGUUAGACCGGCUAUGGGUGGGUUGGUUAUAUACUGCGCCUUCCUUCUUCAAACCUUUUGGUAUGUAUUGCCCCCUAACUAUAGAUCAGAUCCACCAGUUUAUUCAAUUGGAGUAUUGAAAGUUAAGUCGAUUGCAAGUCUUUACCUUACAAACCACUCUUCGGUCAAGGAAAAACCAUCAAUAAUUAUAAUCAAUAGUGAUCAUAAUAAAUCUUGAUAAAGCAGUUUGCUUCGAUUACCAGUCGAUCUCAUUAGAAGAUUAUCGGUCAAUCACCACUAGAAAACCAUGCUGCUGCUACACCUGUAGUAUAUAGAUAAUACAAGAUUAUGGACCAAGUAAUGAACAGAAGGAGUAUCUCCCACCGCGUUACAGAUCAAGAAGUUCAAGACACUGAGAUCAGAUAUGUACCUCAACACGGGCCGGUAAGUCCACAGGAUCUCUUCAAUCAAUGGUGACCACUGGACCAACGGGGAAGGAACGGCGAACUUGAGCGGAUCAAGACAACGACCACUGGACCAACAGGGAAGGAACGGCGAACUUGAGCGGAUCAAGACAACAUUUCCUAUGCGGGAGGAGGCGACCUCAGAGCAAGCACACAGGAGGAGGCGACCUCAGCGAGGAAUUCCUUCGAUCUGAAGCAAGAAUUAGUCGCAUAAAGGCAGGCUUUGAUGAUGGCUGGAAGAGAAAAGUGGUAAAGAAGGCUAAUGAUGCUUAUCUUAAAUUUGUUUACUUGGACAUAGAACCCAGUAAUUAUUCCUUCCUUCCCACCAUUGCAGCAAAAGGCAAAAGCAAAAGCACUCAAGGUGGCUCAUUUUUUAUUUCUUGACGAUUGAACCUGAUGCCUUACCUGAUCCAGUAGCACUGUAGCAGCAUAUAUGUACUGCAAAGACAAGCAACAGCAGAGGCCCCAUCUCCUCUGCUUCCAUUAUUAAUUCAUGUGUCAGGAUAUUUAACCAAACAACAUCAGCCCAUCAUUUUCAGCAACCAGCCAUGAAAUACAUAUACGGUCAGCAAGAGCAGGGUCUGCACAUGCCACAAUUGCCAGUAAUAAAGAUCCCCCAUAAGAGAUUUGUGAUACAUCUUAAGAACGACUAUGUUGUAUCCAUCACAGUUAAUCCAAGCAGUCAAGGAGGUUCAACUUGGGGUUACUACAGAGGUAACUAGAGCACACUUGACAACAAAAUUUCAAGAUUACUUGCACUAGCUUUGCUAGUUAUCGUCCUUAAUUCUCUUGAGCAGCUUGGCAGCCCACCGGCGCAGCCUUUUGUUCAGGGUGAAGCCAACCACGACGCCAACAACAAAGCUGAGGGCGCCAAACUUCGCGCAAGCCGACAGAGACACCAUCCGGCUGCAAUACCAAAGGAUCGUACGUCAGUUGCAAACUUGCAAGGAGCAUAACUUGAGUCAGGGAUUACAGAUUUACAGUACAACAUGUGCACGUUUACAUCACCAAAAAAUGUUGCGGCUGCAGCCUAAAUCUAGAAAAGAAGACUAGAGAGUCGAUGCCAAAUGUGGAAACAUGCAUUUGCCAUUCAGAUUUCACUAUAUAGGCACAGAGUCUAUUUGGCGGACGACUGCAGCUUUGGUUGGCAGAUGCAUACCCCAACCCUCCACAUUGUCUGUGUUCCAUCUUCAGCAUUCAAUUUCAUGUCACAAAAUUUGUAAGCAUGCUAUCUACUGGAACUUGCGAUUGAUUUUUCCAGUCUUUAAAGUUUAAACUGGGAGGUUCUGAUAGAACUUCGAACUAGUGCAAAUAAAUACUUUCAAUUUCAACUAAGAGGGGGCAAACCUUUCACCGAAAACUUGUACAAAAAAAUGAAAUAGAAACCGAACUUUAACCUACAAGUAUCAAGCAUCUUUCAAUCAGCUACUGACCAAAUAGAUAAAUAAACAGGAACCAUAUAUCAAAAUUCCAAUUAGGACAAAAAAAACGACUAGGUCAGGUUUCUUCAGAUUAGGGUGCUAAUUUAACAUAGGGAUCGGUGUACUUCAAGCCCCUGCAGCCACUGCUGAAGGGUGGCAACCUCAGUUGGGGAGCGCCAUAGACUGCAGUGGCAGCACGGCCUAAAGCAGGAGGAUGAGCAUGGGAGAGUGAGGCAGAGAGGCCCGGGGAUUUGCUCAAGCAGGAGGCACAGGGGAAGUCAGAGGAUACAGUUUUACAAGUGGGAUACGGAAAAUUCAGCAAUAAUCAUGUACUCCCUCCGUUCCUUAAUAUAAUUUUUUUUAGAGAUAUCACUAGGAGACUACAUACAGUUGCAAUUUUCCGAAAUCAACGUAGAUAAGCAUGUACGCUGGCAACCAAACUUCUGAUGUUUAGAAGUUCCACAAAUACUACAUGUACAGCAUACAUAUUACAUUGCCCAGCCUAAUUCUUCUUCUCAGGUUUACGGCUUGGUAUCAGUUAAGACACAGAACGAUAUGUAGCACCAUAUGGAACAGGUUACGUCGUAGAAAUCGAAAAUACGGACAUAAAAGUAAACAUAUAAGUCGAAUAAUUGGGCUGUCCUACCAUACACAUGACGACAUAACUGAAGCUCUCCCCAGCCAAACAUUCUCUACAGACCAAAUCCGACUCGUUUAGUCAAGCUUCCAGCUCUGAUGUGUUGCAGGGAUUUCCUGCAUCUGCGUCAGCUACUACUACCACAGUGCAGAACAGCAAAGCAUGCUUGAUAUCCCCCAAACUACUGGCAGCAUACCGCGAAAUCCGCCCCCAAAUCGAAGCAAUCUACCGGGCGAGCGAGCGAAAACAGGGCGCGUCGAUCGAAUCUCGAACCAGAGGAGGAGGAUGAGGACGGUGAGGGGGUGCUCGGACAUACCCUGCCUCCCUGGGCACGAGGAGCUGGUCGGAGAAGGCGGAGCGCGAGGAGGAGGAGGAGUUGGCGGCGUCCUGCGCCGCCGCCUGCAGCCUCCCCACCGCCGACGAACCUGAAGGCAUCUCCGCGGAUCCCGACCUCUUCCUGGCCUCGCCGGGGGUUCGAGCAAGCUAGGGUUUAGAGAGGCAGGGAUUUUUCCUCCCUCUUUUCUCGGAUGGGGGCGGUAAAUAAGAGAAGUGUUUUUUUUUCUUUUUCCGUCUUUUCUUGUCUUGCAGAGGAAGAAGAAGAAAUACGGGCCGGAGAAGGAGCGAAGGAAGGCGGGGUCGACUUGGGGAUGGGCCUGGCCGGGACGGCACUGGGCUCUGGGUUUUGCGCCGUCCGUGUCCAAUUUCCCUGUGAUUUUUUUUUUAACUGAUGACGAAAAAGGGUUUUCCCGCUUUGUAUUACAAAGCAACCAGGCAGAACGUCCAACGAUACGUGUUGGGGUGGAAACAACAUAGUCACGUUAAAAAAAAUGAAAAAGAAAAUACAAUGGAAACAAAUGCCGAUACCGGCGGAUCGACAGAAAACGCAAAAGACUCGCGACCGCUGCGUCCACCAGAAGUCUCCCACGAGGCUCCAGCACUUCAAAGCGCUGGUACCCAUCAAUACCUCCAAGAAGGAAUGCGACGAUGACGACGCUACUGCCAAGGGUUUCCUCCGAUACGCGCUGAGGCACGAGGAAGGGUAGCCCCGACGCCCUCCAGGAAGGUUCCACGACACCCAAAGGCGUCACUGCGUCAGCGUCGACCGGACCGACAGGGGAUUCCUCCGAUCCCAACCUGCACCUCAGGCGCUCCGAAGCCUGCCACCAAACCGACCAUCACCCUGCACCAACACGGUCUUGAGGCCCCCUCGUCAUCUCACCACGGCACCGUAAGAAGAGACCUCCACAACGACGAAGAGGAGCCAGGACUAGGAGCAGUACCACCGCCGGCACGCGCGAGGGCUCAACCUCCACCAUCAACGGCGGUAGCCGACCGGACGCAAUAGCAGAAGCAUACCAGGCCAAGCUGGGACCCCCCCCCCCCCGUAAMGCUCCGUCAUCACACUACAACAGGCACGCCUUCGACGACACCGCCCCAMGUCCAAGCUGCUCCUCCUCACCACCACGUAGAAGACAACGCACCCACGUCGUGUGCCGGCCCGCUAGGACCCAAAUGGGCCCCCACAGGGCCCAGCUCUAGGACGGGGACGCGUCGCCGACCACCCCGCACCACCACGCCACCCUGCCGCCAAGGAGCAGCGCUGCCACCUCAUCCAGCAUCGGACAUCGAUUGAAUCUCGAAUCAUAGGAGGAGGAUGAAGACGGGGAGGGGAAGCUCGGACAAAUCCUGCCUCCCUGGGCACAAGGAGCUGGUCAGAGAAGGCGGCGGAGGCGGAGCGCGAGGAGGAGGAGGAGGAGGAGUUGGCGGCGUCCUGCGUCGCCGCCUGCAGCCUCCCCACCGCCGACGAAGCAGAAGGUAUCUUCGCGGAUGCUGACUCCUCUGCUCUCAGGCCUCGCCGGGGGUCGAGCUAGCUAGGGUUUAGCGGCGGAGCCUGGCGAGGGAGGCAAGGAAUUUUCUUCUCCCUCUUUUCUCGGAUGGGGGAGGUAAUUAGAGUGGUGGAUAUUUUUUUUUCCUUUGUCUUUUUCUUUUCUUGUAGGAGAAGAAGAAGAAACGACGGGUCGGAGAAGGAAGGAAAGAUGAGGUCGAUUCGGGUAUGGGCCGGGCCGUGCCGGUGCUGGGUUUGGCAAUAGGCCGUGUCCAUUUUCUCUGUGAUUCAUUUUUGGGGCCGAAAAUUUAACAAUUAAGAAUUCGAAUUGUUUGGGGUUUGAAUCCUUCAUCAAGAAGAAAUAAAAUCGAACAUCAAUAUAGACGGAGCGUCGCUCAGCGAUAUCUUAUUGCAAGACGCGUUCAAUACAACCAACACGUGAGCCACGGGGCAUGUCAGGGCCACAUAGGCUGACACGCCAAACUCCCCCAAGCCCAAGGACAUGUGCUAAAAAAUAUAAUUUCUCUAUUAAACAGAUGUCAGAUUUUAAAGCAUGCAUAUCUCACGCACGCGAUGAUAAACUAUAUUAUGGCGAGCAUGACAAUUUCUUCGGCGAGCAUCUCACAUUGAUGCUUAAAAUCUGGCGUCAUAUUUUUAACAUUUUUUAAAUUAGUCAAUUGAUGGUUAGAGCACCAUCUCACGUAGCUCAAUAGGGUGAUAUAGAGAGAUUCGAAAGUGAGGCAACGUAAGUGUAUGCUCGCGCACGGUCAUUGAAAUGGAAAUCCCGUCACUAUCCCCGAGCCCAUCGCGCGUCGUCGUCCCCGAGCCCAUCAUCGUCG